rnacentral:rRNA from 1 species
CUACGUGCCAGCAGCCGCGGUAAUACGUAGGUGGCAAGCGUUGUCCGGAAUUAUUGGGCGUAAAGCGCGCGCAGGCGGAUCAGUUAGUCUGUCUUAAAAGUUCGGGGCUUAACCCCGUGAUGGGAUGGAAACUGCUGAUCUAGAGUAUCGGAGAGGAAAGUGGAAUUCCUAGUGUAGCGGUGAAAUGCGUAGAUAUUAGGAAGAACACCAGUGGCGAAGGCGACUUUCUGGACGAAAACUGACGCUGAGGCGCGAAAGCCAGGGGAGCGAACGGGAUUAGAUACCCCGGUAGUCCUGGCCGUAAACGAUGGGUACUAGGUGUAGGAGGUAUCGACCCCUUCUGUGCCGGAGUUAACGCAAUAAGUACCCCGCCUGGGGAGUACGACCGCAAGGUUGAAACUCAAAGGAAUUGACGGGGGCCCGCACAAGCGGUGGAGUAUGUGGUUUAAUUCGACGCAACGCGAAGAACCUUACCAGGUCUUGACA